GAUGAACGCUGGCGGCGUGCCUAAUACAUGCAAGUCGAGCGAACAGACGAGGAGCUUGCUCCUCUGACGUUAGCGGCGGACGGGUGAGUAACACGUGGAUAACCUACCUAUAAGACUGGGAUAACUUCGGGAAACCGGAGCUAAUACCGGAUAAUAUAUUGAACCGCAUGGUUCAAAGUGAAAGACGGUUUUGCUGUCACUUAUAGAUGGAUCCGCGCCGCAUUAGCUAGUUGGUAAGGUAACGGCUUACCAAGGCAACGAUGCGUAGCCGACCUGAGAGGGUGAUCGGCCACACUGGAACUGAGACACGGUCCAGACUCCUACGGGAGGCAGCAGUAGGGAAUCUUCCGCAAUGGGCGAAAGCCUGACGGAGCAACGCCGCGUGAGUGAUGAAGGUCUUCGGAUCGUAAAACUCUGUUAUUAGGGAAGAACAAAUGUGUAAGUAACUAUGCACGUCUUGACGGUACCUAAUCAGAAAGCCACGGCUAACUACGUG
rnacentral:rRNA from 1 species